rnacentral:rRNA from 1 species
ACGGCUCAGUAACACGUGGAUAACCUACCGUAAGGUGGGAGAUAACCCCGGGAAACUGGGGAUAAUACCCCAUAGUCUAUGGUGGCUGGAACGCCCUAUAGUUGAAAGAUUUAUCGCCUUAGGAUGGGUCUGCGGCCGAUUAGGUAGUUGUUGGGGUAACGGCCCAACAAGCCUUUGAUCGGUACGGGUUGUGGGAGCAAGAGCCCGGAGAUGGAUUCUGAGACACGAAUCCAGGCCCUACGGGGCGCAGCAGGCGCGAAAACUUUACAAUGCGGGAAACCGUGAUAAGGGAACUCCGAGUGCCCGUAAACGCGGGCUGUCCAUCUGCUUAAAAAACAGGUGAAGAAAGGGCCGGGCAAGACCGGUGCCAGCCGCCGCGGUAAUACCGGCGGCUCGAGUGGUGGCCACUAUUACUGGGCUUAAAGCGUCCGUAGCUUGGUUGUUAAGUCUCUUGGGAAAUCUGUCGGCUUAACCGACAGGCGUUUAAGGGAAACUGGCAAUCUAGGGACCGGGAGAGGUGAGAGGUACUCCAGGGGUAGGAGUGAAAUCCUGUAAUCCUUGGGGGACCACCUGUGGCGUAGGCGUCUCACCAGAACGGCUCCGACAGUGAGGGACGAAAGCUGGGGGAGCAAACCGGAUUAGAUACCCGGGUAGUCCCAGCCGUAAACGAUGCGCGUUAGGUGUAUCGGUGACCACGAGUCACCGAGGUGCCGAAGGGAAACCGUGAAACGUGCCGCCUGGGAAGUACGGUCGCAAGGCUGAAACUUAAAGGAAUUGGCGCGGGAGCAC